CACAAGCGGUGGAGCAUGUGGUUUAAUUCGACGAUACACGAAGAACCUUACCUGGACUUGACAUAGUAAGAAUGAUUUAGAGAUAGAUUAGUGUCUGCUUGCAGAAACUUGCAUACAGGUGCUGCACGGCUGUCGUCAGCUCGUGUCGUGAGAUGUUGGGUUAAGUCCCGCAACGAGCGCAACCCUCGUCCUUAGUUGCUAACAGUUCGGCUGAGAACUCUAAGGAGACUGCCUACGCAAGUAGGAGGAAGGUGAGGAUGACGUCAAGUCAUCAUGGCCCUUACGUCCAGGGCUACACACGUGCUACAAUGGGGUAUACAAAGAGCAGCAAUACGGUGACGUGGAGCAAAUCUCAAAAAUGCCUCCCAGUUCGGAUUGUAGUCUGCAACUCGACUACAUGAAGUUGGAAUCGCUAGUAAUCGUAGAUCAGCUAUGCUACGGUGUAUACGCUCCCGGGUCUUGUACUCGCCGCCCGUCACACCAUGGGAGUUGAACUCAUUCGAAGCGGGGAUGCUAAAGUAGCUACCUUCCACAGUGGAUUCAGCGACUGGGGUGAAGUCGUAACAAGGUAGCCGUA
rnacentral:rRNA from 1 species